GCUAGCUGGCAGCACCGGGCCCGAGACACAAAGCUCCGAGGCUGCGUUGCUAACAAGAUAAAUGACCAUGAUGGAGCCGAUGGAGCGAAUCGCUGCGCGUCCAAGCUGCAGAACGAAGUAGCGUGGGCUUAUGCAACCAGGAUCAAGCAAGUCGGGAGGUGGAGUGCAGACCGAAAUGAGGGAAGAGGAAAAGGGGGUAAAGUCCUGCAGGACGAACUUUCGAAGAUCUCUGAGACGGAGAAGAAAUGUCAAACAGUUACGUGUUAACAUCAGUGUUGUCAGAGCGUUUCUUGCGCCACCUUUCAUCAUCCCCUCGGCCCUGAGGGAGGCCCACGUAAUACGGACAGAGGCCUCCAGCCGGCGGCCGCUCCAGGCCUGGCCUCCCUCCGGCCGGGUACAGGGCCCCGAACCCCUGCGUCUGAGGCGGGGUCCUCGCCAUCUGUGAUGUCACCCCCGCUGCCAAUAGCAGCCCUCCGAGGAGCGAGGCGGGCAGCCGCGGAGACGCCCCCCCCAACCUGCGCCUCUCCUCUCCUCUCCUCUCCCCAUGAAUUCGGGGAGCAUUUGGAAGCCCUCUCCGCACCCAGUAGCGUAGCGACGGUGGCCAAACAUGACAAAAAAGGGUGAACAAGUGACUCUCUGCCAGCGUGAGUUCAGCCAGCAGAACUGCAGUGAUCAAAAAAAGCAAAGGUGGGGUCUGGAGCUGUAACACACUGACGAGAAACAUUGUAACACAAGAGAAAUAAUUUACUGCUUAAAUUUCACCCUCUCUGACCCCACCAUGGCAGUGUAACCUUGCUCCACAAGUUCAGCUUUCUUGGCUACUUAUCUCUGAUUUUUCCCUCCAAUGUUACAUCAUGUCUCUCCUAACAGCAAAAAAAAUGUAUUGGCACCUCAGGGUGAAUUUAAAGUAAUACUGUUGCUUGUAUGUUUUAUGUAUCAAACACAUGGCUUUUUUUUGAAGGAAAAGAAAACCCAAGCAUGCUGCCAAAUGUCCUCGCUGGUCGAGUCCAAUAAAGACAGCGCCAAAUCUCCAUGUUCCACUAGAAGUGAGUGGGAAAAGAUGGGGAAAGAAACGCACCCU